rnacentral:rRNA from 1 species
GACGAAUGCUGGCUGCGUGCUUAACACAUGCAAGUCGAACGGUGAAAGGGAGCUUGCUCUCUCUGGAUUAGUGGCGAACGGGUGAGUAACACGUGAGUAACCUGCCCUGGACUCUGGGAUAAGCGUUGGAAACGACGUCUAAUACCGGAUAGGACCUUUCCUCGCAUGAGGUUUGGUGGAAAGUUUUUCGGUUUGGGAUGGACUCGCGGCCUAUCAGCUGGUUGGUGAGGUAAUGGCUCACCAAGGCGUCGACGGGUAGCCGGCCUGAGAGGGUGACCGGCCACACUGGGACUGAGACACGGCCCAGACUCCUACGGGAGGCAGCAGUGGGGAAUAUUGCACAAUGGGCGCAAGCCUGAUGCAGCAACGCCGCGUGCGGGAUGACGGCCUUCGGGUUGUAAACCGCUUUUAGUAAGGAAGAAGCCUUCGGGUGACGGUACUUGCAGAAAAAGGACCGGCUAACUACGUGCCAGCCGCCGCCGUAAUAC